GGACCGUGAGGACAGCAGUUUGUUGUUUGGCCCUUUGGGCAAAAAUUGAAUUCGGGAGGAUUAGUCUCCCAGGUUAGCCCGCAAUUCUUAUGAGUAACUCCUGUAACGGUACCCCCAUUUUCACAGCGAAGGUCAUCUCCCAAAGCUAUCGCAGUCAGCCCUAGAAGGACUAAGCUCGCUAUUAUUGCU
rnacentral:ncRNA from 19 species